AUCUGCAUCUCUAACUCGCACAAUAUGAUAAAUGCACCCUUUUGCGAUCAUUUUCCGUGCGAAUUAGAGCGCUUGGUUGAAAGGAGCCCCUCCGGAGUCUACACACCCCUAGUGAUCACAGAUCUUGGUGUGUUUGAUCACGGAGGUCGUUGAGUUCGUGCGCCAUCGAGUACCGGAGACUACGAGAUUCCGAUAAACAUGAGUCAAGAAAGACCUUCAAAAUCCAAAAGAAAGACAGGCACGGCAUACAUAAAAGCUGGAACUAUGGCAUCUUUGGCAAACCAAAUAAGGAAUUCGUUUAGCCAAAAAUAUACUAUUCCUGCUAGACAAUCAAACAAAGAGCGCCCGAAUAUUAUUGAAGAGAAUCUGCUACUGUCACAAUGUCCAGGAGUAGUAACACAUGUACAAACUAGAUCAACCACUCUUGUAGUAGAAGUAGUAGAGGAACAAGUUCAACUGAAUUCUACAACUCCUAUCAGUGAUGAACAAUGUGAAGAACAAGGAUAAAUAUGAUAUUCAUGAAGCUGGAAAAAAAAUGGAUUUUGGAAACAGUCCAAGCUGCCUGGAAAAAGCACAAGAGUAGAUUGAAUAAAUACAACUUUGACGCCUAUGGCAAUGAUGACACUCGACGACUCCAUAUGCUUGAAGAUGUUCCAGCUUCUCGGUUUAAGAAACUCCUUAAAUAUUGGAACUCUGAAAAACUCCAGAGAAUUUCCAAAACUAAUAUUGAGAACCGAAAAAAGUUGAAGAAUCCUCACUCUACUGGGAAAAGAAGUUUUGCAUUAAUUCAAUCUAAGUUGGAAAAAGGCAAGGAAUCUUCGGAUCCUUUAUCUUCAAAGGAACUCUAUGUAGCUACAGGAAAAAGGAAACUUGGGCGAUCAUACAAGUGCUCGUAUGAAGAUACAACUAGCUGAAAUGGAGGAAAUUGAUGCAUAACAAAAUGAAAAUGGCAAUGAGUCCGUAGAGGCAUUUGCAUCUGUCAUGGGACCUGAACAUCCUAGACAUCGAAGUUGUAUGGACGGGGGGUUACAAGAACUUCUUUGUGAGAGAGUAGGAUAUUUUGAACCUUCUUCAAAUGCUACAAAUUCUCUGUAAUAAAUGGAGGAGAAGAUACAUAGAAUGGAGGGAAAAAUUGAGGAACAAAAGACAACUAUCCGUCAAGAAGUUGUUGCAGAUGUCCCUGCACGACUUCAAUGUUCCGAAAUUGAUAUUGAUGCUAACAUUAUUCUAGAGGCUUUGGGUGAUAAUUCACCGGCAGAAGCUUCCUCUGCACAAGAAACAACUUUGCAACCAAUCCGUCGUCCAUCUACUAAUAGCAAAAAGAAGGCCAGCUCAUUCCAGGGAUUAACUCGUUUACAAUGUAAUAGUUUUUGAGAGUUUCGGUAGGGGCGGGGGGUAGAAUUUUCUUAUAUACAUUGUUGUGAUCUGCAUAUAUUUAAAAAAAACAGCAUAUUUUGCUAAGAGAAAUCGGAGUUAGACUGUCCUCCCCUUCUUCUUCUUUUUUUUUGGGGGGGGGGGGAAUAAGGAGGCUGUCCUGCUCUAGUAUCUACCUUUGAAAGCCUCGAACAGUUUUAGAAGUUCAGUCGCGCUAGCAACCUCCCAAUCGUUUAGAAGUGUUCUGAAGGUGCAGCGAUUGCGGAUGAAAGCAGUGAUGAAGACCUUACUUGAGUGUUGUUGAUCGUUGUAAGACUUUCUAUUAUAAUGUUCAAGGAUAUUUUAGUUUAGAACUUUCUGUAUGCAAACUCAUCUAUUUUGAUUUUUGAAUUGUUGAUCAAACAAUGUAUUCAUACUUUGUUUUUGUAUAUGGAUAACGCUAGUUGGAUAUUUUAAUUUUAUUUCGUGGUUUAUAUAA